AGAGUUUGAUCCUGGCUCAGGAUGAACGCUGGCGGCAUGCCUAAUACAUGCAAGUCGAACGAGAGGAAGGAAAGCUUGCUUUCCUAAAUCUAGUGGCGAACGGGUGAGUAACACGUAGGUAACCUGCCCAUGUGCCCGGGAUAACUUCUGGAAACGGAUGCUAAAACCGGAUAGGUAGCAGACAAGCAUUUGACUGCUAUUAAAGUGGCUAAGGCCAUGAACAUGGAUGGACCUGCGGUGCAUUAGCUAGUUGGUGAGGUAACGGCCCACCAAGGCGACGAUGCAUAGCCGGCCUGAGAGGGCGGACGGCCACAUUGGGACUGAGACACGGCCCAAACUCCUACGGGAGGCAGCAGUAGGGAAUUUUCGUCAAUGGGGGGAACCCUGAACGAGCAAUGCCGCGUGAGUGAGGAAGGUCUUCGGAUCGUAAAGCUCUGUUGUAAGAGAAAAACGGCACUCAUAGGAAAUGAUGAGUGAGUGAUGGUAUCUUACCAGAAAGUCACGGCUAACUACGUGCCAGCAGCCGCGGUAAUACGUAGGUGGCGAGCGUUAUCCGGAAUGAUUGGGCGUAAAGGGUGCGUAGGUGGCAGAUCAAGUCUGGAGUAAAAGGUAUGGGCUCAACCCGUACUUGCUCUGGAAACUGAUCAGCUAGAGAACAGAAGAGGACGGCGGAACUCCAUGUGUAGCGGUAAAAUGCGUAGAUAUAUGGAAGAACACCGGUGGCGAAGGCGGCCGUCUGGUCUGGAUUCUGACACUGAAGCACGAAAGCGUGGGGAGCAAAUAGGAUUAGAUACCCUAGUAGUCCACGCCGUAAACG
rnacentral:rRNA from 1 species